rnacentral:rRNA from 1 species
UACAGAGGUCUCAAGCGUUGUUCGGAUUCAUUGGGCGUAAAGGGUGCGUAGGCGGCUCGGUAAGUCGGGUGUGAAAUCCCGGAGCUUAACUCCGAAACUGCAUUCGAUACUGCCGUGCUUGAGGACUGGAGAGGAGACUGGAAUUUACGGUGUAGCGGUGAAAUGCGUAGAUAUCGUAAGGAAGACCAGUGGCGAAGGCGGGUCUCUGGACAGGUCCUGACGCUGAGGCACGAAGGUCAGGGGAGCAAACGGG